rnacentral:rRNA from 1 species
UACAGAGGGUGCGAGCGUUAAUCGGAAUUACUGGGCGUAAAGCGCACGUAGGUGGCGCCGCAAGUCGGGUGUGAAAGCCCCGGGCUCAACCUGGGAAUUGCAUUCGAGACUGCAUUGCUGGAGUACGGAAGAGGAGGGCGGAAUUCCCGGUGUAGCGGUGAAAUGCGUAGAUAUCGGGAGGAACAUCAGUGGCGAAGGCGGCCCUCUGGUCCAGUACUGACACUCAAGUGCGAAAGCGUGGGGAGCAAACAGG